AUGUUUUUAGGGAUGGUCACCCAGAAUUCAACCUGUUGUAAAAUUAAAGAAGAAAAUACAGGGCAGAGGAUAAAAUCUCACCCGAAAAGGAACUGGCAGAACUCUCCAUCCUGGGACUCUAGAGCAAACAGACCUGUGUCCAGGGAUCCCUGCACAAUCACAGGCUGGCAAGGGAAUUGGGUAACCAGGGAGCACGUGCUCCAGGGCAAAGCUUCACAAACACUGUUGGCAGAGCUGUCUGGAAGAUGGAGUCAGAUCUGACUAGAGCUGAAGGGAAUUAUGAAACUUAAAAAUAGGCCAAAAAGAAGACAUCAGAAUUGAAGAACUUGAGAGCUGGGCUUUGAUUUUGUUUGACUUUUCUUUCCUUUCUUAGGUGACAGGAUGCUCUUAAGAGUUUCACAUUUCCAGGUCAAUUAAAAAAAAUGUAAC
rnacentral:lncRNA from 1 species